AGGCGCGCUUAAUUCGACCUCUUCCCACAGCUAGCAGCUGGCACACGUGGAACAGCCGCCUUCGACUGUUGCAGUUUGCAUACAUUUUUGCGUUCAACUGCACAGUGGAAGUUCACAAAAAGGCUCAUGGCCCCUGCUUUUAUAAGGUAAGCGUGGACAGAUUGACCUCUAUUGUGUAUGGACCAUCCACUUUGUUGGCUUGCAAUAUAUUUCUAUAUAAACAUUCAGACAAUAUAUAGGAAAUAGAAAAACAUGAACCUGUAGAAGAAUUUGUGCUUUAUUCAGUGAUGGUGUUUGGAGUAUGAUGUAUACAUUGACACCAUUAUUUUUUUUAUUAUUUGUAGCCUAUUUAUUAAGGUGAAAUGCCAGUCCACGAGAGGUUAUAGCGGGCAGGAGCUGUCUCUAUUCUCUACACUUCUUUCUUGAGGUGACGGCCAAAGGUAAUUUAUAAUGGAAUAAUGAUGAAAUAUGAAGGCACAAAUGAACAUUUAUAUAAAUAUAUAUUGUGUGUGAGGGAGAGGGAGCGGGAGAUAGGUAACUAAAUCAAACAUGUACAAAAAAAAUUGGUAUUUAUAUGUGAAGUGCCAUACAAUGAUUUUCACAUAUGUUAAUUGCAGUCUUUACAAUGAUGACUCACAUAUUUGCCGUUUACCCAUCUGACCAAAAACUGGGAUGGUGAUACUGUGAUGAACUGAACUGAUGACCUGCUGCAAAUUUCACUAGAGACAAAAACAAGAAGUGGUUCAUCACUUUUAAAGAUUUUUGUUUUUGAAUUCCAGAUGUCCCUGAGCAGGAGGGAUUUUCUUCUCUACAUCUGUGAUUGGAGAUGGUGGCUGAAGAUGACUGAGCUGGAACGAUGGUGGCAGAAGACGACUCCGAGCAGGAGGGAUUUUCUUCUACAUCUGUGAUUGGAGAUGGUGGUUGAAGGUAAUUGAAAAUAUGAAUGACCUAAAUACAUAGAUGAGUAACCCUCACAUACUCUGCAAUAUGUGUGCGUGUGUGUGUGUGUGUGUGACAUGUAAAGUUGUUUUGUAACUACAACUUUACAAUGAUGACUUCCACAUUUAUGCCGUUUACCCAUCUGACCAAAAUCUGGGGUGGUGAUACUGUGAUGAACUGAAGUGCACCAUGCUACUAAUGGUUGCAUUGAUGACAAAAUAAGUGGUUCAUCACUUUAAAGAUUUUUGUUCUUGUAUUCUAGAUGACUGAGCUGGAACGAUGGUGGCAGAAGGUAAUUCAUAACAUGAGUAUUACUCGUCUACGCAUUUGCUAUGCAAUAUGUGUGUGUGUGGUAUUUAAAGUUGUGUUGUGACCACAGCUACAAACCUUAAGUAAAUCUCUUGUGCCAGAAAAAAAUGUCUUUAAUGCAGUCUUUACAAUGAUGACUCACAUAUUUGCCGUUUACCCAUCUGACCAAAAUCUGGGAUGGUGAUACUGUGAUGAACUGA
rnacentral:lncRNA from 1 species